rnacentral:rRNA from 4 species
GAAGGAACGUUGAAGACGACGACGUUGAUAGGCCGGGUGUGUAAGCGCAGCGAUGCGUUGAGCUAACCGGUACUAAUGAACCGUGAGGCUUAACCUUACAACGCCGAAGCUGUU